UCGGGAAUUUUGCCCAAUGGACGAAAGUCUGAGGCAGCAACGCCGCGUGAGGGAUGAAGGCCUUCGGGUUGUAAACCUCUUUUCUCAGGGACGAUGAUGACGGUACCUGAGGAAUAAGCCACGGCUUACUACGUGCCAGCAGCCGCGGUAAUACGUAGGUGGCAAGCGUUGUCCGGAUUUACUGGGCGUAAAGAGCGCGCAGGCGGUCGAUUAAGUCGGAUGUGAAAUCCCCUGGCUCAACUGGGGGGCGUCAUUCGAUACUGCUCGACUUGAAGGCAGGAGAGGGAAGCGGAAUUCCCGGUGUAGUGGUGAAAUGCGUAGAUAUCGGGAGGAACACCAGUGGCGAAGGCGGCUUCCUGGCCUGUUCUUGACGCUGAGGCGCGAAAGCCAGGGGAGCAAACGG
rnacentral:rRNA from 1 species